rnacentral:rRNA from 1 species
UACGUAGGGGGCAAGCGUUGUCCGGAAUCAUUGGGCGUAAAGAGCGUGUAGGCGGCCUGAUAAGUCGGUUGUGAAAGUCAAGGGCUCAACCCUUGAAUGCCGGCCGAUACUGUCAGGCUAGAGUCCGGAAGAGGCGAGUGGAAUUCCUGGUGUAGCGGUGAAAUGCGCAGAUAUCAGGAGGAACACCAAUAGCGAAGGCAGCUCGCUGGGACGGUACUGACGCUGAGGCGCGAAAGCGUGGGGAGCGAACAGG